GAGGGGUUGUAGGUAGAGAGAGAGAGGAGAGGGGUUGUAGGUAGAGAGAGGAGGAGGAGAGGGGUUGUAGGUAAAGAGAGAGCAGGAGGAGAGGGGUUGUAGGUAAAGAGAGAGCAGGAGGAGAGGGGUUGUAGGUAGAGAGAGAGGAGGAGAGGGGUUGUAGGUAAAGAGAGAGGAGGAGGAGAGGGGUUGUAGGUAAAGAGAGAGCAGGAGGAGAGGGGUUGUAGGUAGAGAGAGAGGAGGAGAGGGGUUGUAGGUAGAGAGAGAGGAGGAGAGGGGUUGUAGGUAAAGAGAGAGGAGAGGGGUUGUAGGUAGAGAGAGAGGAGGAGAGGGGUUGUAGGUAGAGAGAGGAGGAGAGGGGUUGUAGGUAGAGAGAGGAGGAGGAGAGGGGUUGUAGGUAGAGAGAGAGGAGGAGGAGAGGGGUUGUAGGUAGAGAGAGAGGAGGAGGAGAGGGGUUGUAGGUAGAGAGAGAGGAGGAGAGGGGUUGUAG
ensembl:lncRNA